GGGGUCGUUUUUGGCUUUGACAGCAAGAUGAAUGACUAGGUAAGCAUGUCGAGCAUUGUGAGUUGGCUCGUAAAUAUCGGCUCUCAAAUCGCUAACUGGCGAAGAUAACUAUGCAAUGGCUGCGUAAUCACGACUAAGUCGGAUAACCUUCAUCCUCGCUGAAGUACAGUAGGCAGGACCAUUACUCCUCAAAAAUAUUGUCUGUUUAUUUUUGGUUAAGGAGUAUCAAUUUUUCAGACUAGCCUUUGUGAUGUUUCUAAGCAUAGGUUAAACAACAGAAACUUAAGAUUAAAAUUGGUUGUCUUUUACCUGUUUUAUUCCUAACAAUUAAUAAAAGAAUACACAUGUAGAAAGCUUACGAUUUCCUUGUUUGGACGAGGGUUCGAAUCCCUCCGACUCCACAA
rfam:Flavobacteriales bacterium BRH_c54 BRHa_1002381, whole genome shotgun sequence.